rnacentral:rRNA from 1 species
UAGAUACCCCACUAUGCCUGACCGUAAAACAACUCACACCUACACCGCCAGGGGAUUACGAGCCCAAGCUUAAAACCCAAAGGACUUGACGGUGCCCCAUCCCACUAGAGGAGCCUGUUCUAUAAUCGAUUUUCCCCGAUCCACCUCACCCCCUCUUGAACACCAGCCUGUAUACCUCCGUCGCAAGCUUACCAUGUGAACGCAUCUAGUGAGCUAAAAAAUUUAACAUUCAUACGUCAGGUCAAGGUGCAGCCCACGAGGCGGGAAGAAAUGGGCUACAGUCUCUGCUUUAGAACAAACAGAAGGCUACAUGAAACAUAGCCUGAAGGCGGAUUUAGUAGUAAAAAGAAAUUAGAGAGUUCUUUUUAACCCGGCCCUGGGACGCGUACACACCGCCCGUCACCCUCUUCAAACACCUCAUCCCGUUACUAACACCCUAUGCACACAUAGAAGAGGCAAGUCGUAACAUGGUAAGCGUACUGGAAAGUGUGCUUGGAACAAAGUGUAACUUAAUAAAAGUAUCUUGCUUACACCAAGAAUAUGUCUGUGAAACUUAGACCGCUUUGAGCUAACAACCUAGCCCCUCCCCACCCUCAAAUGAAAUAUCCACCUUUCUCCCGUAUAAUAAAACAUUUUUAUUGCCAAGUAAAGGCGAUUGAAAAGCACCUAAGAGCCUUAGCAUUAGUACCGCAAGGGAAAAGUGAAAUAGAAAUGAAAUAAAUUUAAAGCCCAAUAAAGUAAAGACUUAUCCUUGUACCUUUUGCAU